GUCUCUUCAGCAGACGCUCACUUAGUUACGAGGGUGAUCUGGCUGAACUGCGUGUCAUUCUGCUAACGGCCAGGCCCGGAAUGGGCUGCGCGGCUGGCAUCCUCUCUGGGCCCUCCCUGCUCCUCGUGUGCCUCCCCAAAGCGGCCCACUGUGAUGGGCACCCUGUUCCUAAGCCAGAGGAAACCCGAGUCGCGGCUUCCCGCUAGCCCUCCAAGUAACCUCUUGGUUGUCAGGCGGCAGGAGCCAACAGCAACAGCAGCUCCUCUGUCGCUGCAUCCCUUUCAAGCGGGGGGAGGGCUGUCGAGGAGCUGGAGUGGCAAGCGUGCAGCCUGCUGGGCGAGGGCCAGGGAGAAAGGACCUGUUGCUGCAGGGCUUACUCCCCCACAGUCGUGGAGGGCUUGCGCCCGCAGCAGCUCUGCUGACCGCGGCCUGCUAUUCCAAGGGCUCAGCCCGAGGCCAAGCGCCGCCCGGCGGGCGGGAUCAAGGGCUGCUCGGCGGGGCUGCCACAGACCCCUGUCUGUUCGACGCAGCAGGUGGACGCCGGGCCGCGUGCCCUCACAGCGCCCACCCGCGCGCACAUGUGCUCCGAGCGCUCCCCUCUCUUCUUCCAGACCGCCGGUCAAAGGCCUCUCAGUUCUGGAAACCAGUGCUGAGUGGAAAUUUAGACGCCCAGGAGUGGAAAGUGCUGAUGAUUGCGUAUCUAUCCCAAGAGAGCCCUGCAAAGAGGAAAACCUGGUUUACAACAGGGGGAAGAAAUGCACGGCGUGCUUCUCAGUUCAAGAGAGGAAAAGUCUUUGCUUCACCAGAGAUGGGACUCUUUCCAAGCUGUCUGAACUGACUGUAGUUUCCUCCCGAGAUCCAAGUCUGAGGCGAAAAACAAAAACAAAAGCAAAUUAUAGCCUUCAGGAACCCUCAGAAACAUUUCUACAAACUAGUCCCUGA
rnacentral:lncRNA from 1 species